rnacentral:rRNA from 1 species
GAUGAACGCUGACAGAAUGCUUAACACAUGCAAGUCUACUUGAAUUUGGGUUUUUUAACUUAGAUUUGGGUGGCGGACGGGUGAGUAACGCGUAAAGAACUUGCCUCACAGCUAGGGACAACAUUUGGAAACGAAUGCUAAUACCUGAUAUUAUGGUUAUACGGCAUCUUAGAAUUAUGAAAGCUAUAUGCGCUGUGAGAGAGCUUUGCGUCCCAUUAGCUAGUUGGAGAGGUAACGGCUCACCAAGGCGAUGAUGGGUAGCCGGCCUGAGAGGGUGAACGGCCACAAGGGGACUGAGACACGGCCCUUACUCCUACGGGAGGCAGCAGUGGGGAAUAUUGGACAAUGGACCAAGAGUCUGAUCCAGCAAUUCUGUGUGCACGAUGACGUUUUUCGGAAUGUAAAGUGCUUUCAGUUGGGAAGAAAAAAAUGACGGUACCAACAGAAGAAGUGACGGCUAAAUACGUG